AAAUGUUGCAAUAAUUCUUCACAGCAUCUCCACCAAAGUAGAUUCUAUCUCAAGAAACCGCUUUCUUUGUUCACCGUUACUUCCUCCACUGAAAUCCUGAGCCCCUCAAAGUCA